rnacentral:lncRNA from 1 species
UAAAAGAGAAAAGUCAAGAACUCUUUUCUCCAACCAGGUAAAUGUCUGACUAUCACAGUAAUAGAAGGAUCCUUGAAGUGUUUUCCUUCACAUGCAUAGAAGGCCCUCAAGUACAAGGCACCAAAGAACCACACCCAAGAAGAUCUAAGGGACAAUCCCAGCAUCCCACGUUCUGAAAAAGGAGUAAAACAGUGACUGGAAAAGGUGUUUGGCUCCAGUGCUUUGCUGCCCAUCCCUCCUACCAGGCCUUUCCCUUGCGGGGCACACUUUAAGUCAGCUCAAACGUGAGAUCGUUGGGGGAAGUGUUAUCACUGGCCCUGGCGGGGAGUUGGAAACUGGACCCUAGAGGGGGAGAAGGCCAAAGAGCCAAAAGCUGCAUCCCCCUGAAGUGCCGCUGUUGUUUCCACGCUGCAGAAGCUCGUUGGCUCAAGCGUCUCCCAACUUCUUGGCAGAAUAGCCCUACCUACAGACCCAGUCCCAAGAGGGCCAUUUUGUAAUUAAAGAGCCUCAUUAAGUGGUGUGACUGAGAAGGCGCAG